UGGCCAGACUCCUACGGGAGGCAGCAGUGGGGAAUAUUGCACAAUGGGGGGAACCCUGAUGCAGCAAUGCCGCGUGAAGGAUGAAGGUUUUCGGAUUGUAAACUUCUUUUGUACGGGACGAAGAAAGUGACGGUACCGUAAGAAUAAGCCACGGCUAACUCCGUGCCAGCAGCCGCGGUAAUACGUAGGGAGCAAGCGUUGUCCGGAUUUACUGGGUGUAAAGGGUGCGUAGGCGGCCCUGCAAGUCAGAAGUGAAAUCCAUGGGCUUAACCCGUGAACUGCUUUUGAAACUGUAGGGCUUGAGUGAAGUAGAGGCAGGCGGAAUUCCCGGUGUAGCGGUGAAAUGCGUAGAGAUCGGGAGGAACACCAGUGGCGAAGGCGGCCUGCUGGACGACAACUGACGGUGAGGCGCGAAAGCGUGGGGAGCAAACAGGAUUAGAUACCCCAGUA
rnacentral:rRNA from 1 species